rnacentral:lncRNA from 1 species
AUGUUCCCUGAUGGUGCUGCUCAGCCUGCAAGUGAAUUCCAGCUGUGGGAGAUCCUUAGACCUGGGAUACAAACAGAGCCACAAGACAUUUGGGAAAGAUCAUAUGGAAAUUGCUCAUUGCAGUGCGGUGUAGGGAGAAGUGAGAAAAAGGAAAUACUCCCAGUUGAGCAACCUUGCAUAGCCAGGCAUGGAGGAGUGCUGCCACUGUCAUUGUUUUGGAAGACCGUCAGCAUUUCUUGCUGCAGGACACCAGUGCCCUUUUCUACCUCAUGCUAUUAUAGAAGCUUAGUGGAUUUUUUUUUUUCCCCAGGAUCUGUGUCCAGUUGUAGAGGUAAGUGCAGUUAAACGCAUGCCUUGCAGGUAUCACAGGUAAUUCUUGUUGUUCUCUCCCCAUUGUUGAAACCAGCCAUACACACUGGGUUUUUUUCUUCCCUAUUCCUUUGCUGCAUCCAUCCUUAUACAUAGUGUGUGAACGUUGCAGACUUCAGGUAAAGGUGCUAAGGUGAGACCAGAGCCAUGCAACAGCUGACCUUCGCAGAGCAAAAGUGAUUUCUGCUUUAUUACUUCCUUUAUUUCUGCAUUUAACGCCUGAAGCUUUCAGCUGCAGGUUUUAGGUGGAAAAGGACACAGGAAAUAUUUUUUUUGUAUUAAUCUACCCUAAUGCCCUGUCUUCUGGGGGACAUGAGACACUCAUUUGGCAUGAACCAGCAGAGCUCCUUGCUUUUAUCAGAGCCACAUCCACUUGUACCAGCUGGGAGCUGUGUGUGUCACUGUUCCCUUGCUGUACCUGGAAGCACUGAGGAGUUCAUUUUCACCAGAGCAGCCAGUAAUUAACUGAUUAAUUAGCUUUAAUGUUCCUGCAAUAGUUUAAUGUGCUAAUUUUUUGAAGAUUUUUUUUGAUAGUCCAGUUAACCACUUGAAUCAUCACUAACCACUGCAGUACUUUUUCUCUGAG